UACAGAGGGUGCGAGUGUUAAUCGGAAUUACUGGGCGUAAAGCGUGCGUAGACGGUUACAUAAGUCGGGUGUGAAAGCCCCGGGCUCAACCUGGGAAUUGCAUUCGAGACUGCGUAGCUAGGGUGCGGAAGAGGGAAGCGGAAUUUCCGGUGUAGCGGUGAAAUGCGUAGAUAUCAGGAGGAACACCGGUGGCGAAGGCGGCUUCCUGGACAAAAACUGACGCUGAGGCGCGAAAGCUAGGGGAGCAAACAGG
rnacentral:rRNA from 1 species